ACAACUAUUAUUCACCAGUUGUACUAAAAUGUUUGUUGUCCUACCAUGUGCUGAAGCUGGAGUCCUUGAAUAAGAAUCAAACCACACCAUUAAACUGGCUCAUCAUAACAAUAACCAUUUUUUGGAUGCAAACAUGUUGAUAUGAUAAGAUCACCUUAUUCCUUUGUGUUUAAGGGGAAUACAAUUAGAAGUAUUUUUAAAAUAACUCAAAACUGUUGAAUUACAUUUACAUAUUUGUUGUUCUCUCUGCUUUGCAAGGGCCAAAGUGAAAAAGUGGACUGCUGGUUUAAGCACCCGACCCAGGUCCCUGCCUUCAGGGCUUCGACAUCAGUGCUGACAAAAAGCCAUGAAAAGCACUGAGAAAUGUUUCAUCGGUCACGACACAUUAUGCAGCCGGACCCAGGUCAUCACUGCUUUAACAACUGUGCUAAAGAAUAAGCGCUUGGCAGAUGGGAGAGACUGUGGCUUGGAUCACUGUAGUGAAACCAGACCUGACAUCCAUUUCCUUGGCCAGUGGAAUCAGUGUUACCAUCUAAAUAUCCAGGAUCUGCUAGUAAGUUCACACAGUUUGGGUCUAACCCCAAAGCAUUUCUGAUCUGUCUGAGGAUUCCAUACUGGUCUUUUUGGAUGCUGUUUUUAACUCCGUGGUCAAACCAGAGCAAACAAGGAUGCGAGCCUGCUGUUUUGGAAUCUGGUGUCACAUCUUUGUUCAAUAAGGUGGAGAUUGGUCACACUGUAGGUCAUUCUGCAAGAGAAUCAAAGUGAGGACAUCUAAGCCUCAGGGAUGGCUAGUUUGGGUACUGUUUUAGGCUUUUGUGUUGUUUUGGGUCUUUAAAAGUGGUGUGGUGUGCAUUACAGGGCAGGGGUAGAGGUUGAGAGUAAAAAAAAAAAUGUUUGCAAGAGAGCAAUCCAGGGAAAAUACUGGGAGAUCAGCUGGCUCAACAAUUCAGAGAAAUGAAAAUAAACAGGGAACAAGAACAACUAAUCCCAACAAAUACAAGAUUAAAAAGUGAAGUGAUUCCAAAUAUGGCUGUCGAUUACAGAAAGACGGUUAUUUGGACAGAUAGAGCCUAUGAGUAAAAGACCAAAAGAGGAGAUGGAAACUCAGCCAUGGAGGGUCUAACUGUUCACAUGUUUUGAAUGAUGAGUUCUGCUUUGGGGAUUUUUUGGCACACGUGGCCAAAAACGAACACAAUUUAGGGAUUAGCAAUUUUAUUAGCAGAAUAAUAUCUAAUUAUGUAAAUAUCUAAUUGCCUCAUCAUAUACGUGUAAUGUUUAAAUGUUAUGUAUCUAUUCUCGGUUAACAUUUUGAGCUUUCCAAGCGCACCUUAGGUUAAUUAAAUAAGUGUCAAACAUAUGGUCUUUGACCCUGAAUAUUAAAAAAAACCCGGAAAUGAUAAGGAAUGCAUUUGAUCCACACAGCUGCAUGGCUUCACCCUUAUUCAAACUGUGGAUUCAUCUAAAUUCUAUGGAAUCUUCUGCAACACAUUUUUCUCUUUCCUUUUUUUUUUUUUUGCCCUCAGAGUUCAGAAGCUUGUAGGUCUUUAAUUAUGUAUAAUAUUCUUUUGCCCUGUUUUAUAGAAACUCCAGACUGGUUUCGCUCAAGUCAUCGACUUGAAAGUUUGAAAACCUCCAGUGACAAGAAUAUUAAUGUGCCAGCAGUGUCAUAUCUGUUUCAGCUCAUGCAUAUUCAAUGUCCCCCCAGCUCUCCAAGAUUUAUGUCAGACUUUGCCAGAGAGUAGUUUUCCACCAUUGGAGAUAAUAGCAUGCUAAAUUGAUGUUAUCGGGGGCAGGUUUUUUGUCUUUACUUCUCUCCAGGUCGGGAGGGUUGGAAGAAGGGAGCUGGGAGCAACCCACUCUUCUGGCUGCUGUUCAGACUGUUGGCAGCUUCCACACUCACCUCCACCCACUGGACUGUUCAGCAACAGUGGCGGGCCCGAGAACCUCCAUCUACUCCUGCAUGGGUGGAGCAGAGGGCAUAUUUUGGAAGGAGAUUAGGGGGUGAUCCUGUGGAUUAUCUUUUAAUUAAGGAUGGUUGAGUUGUGCCCACUCUGGUGGAGCAAACGCCCAGCUGCUAAUGAAGUUUAAACAGACAUACUUUAUUUAAUUACUGCUAAUCGCUGGGCCCAAAGUCUGGCCCUCUUUGAUCUGCCUGUCGCACUGUAAUCUUCCUGGCAGAUACCAUCUCCCGUUCUACCCCAAUCCCUUUUAGAAGUUGCUACGGGAGGUCCAAGAUUAACCAUGGGUUAAUUGAGACAGCCAGGGUAGAACUAUGGGUGUGUGUGAGUGAGAGGAAUAGACAGAAAGGAAGGACUAGAGAGGGUGUAAGAAGGAGGGAGGA
ensembl:lncRNA